rnacentral:rRNA from 1 species
UACGUAGGGUGCGAGCGUUGUCCGGAUUUAUUGGGCGUAAAGAGCUCGUAGGCGGUUUGUCGCGUCGGCCGUGAAAUCUCCACGCUUAACGUGGAGCGUGCGGUCGAUACGGGCAGACUUGAGUUCGGUAGGGGAGACUGGAAUUCCUGGUGUAGCGGUGAAAUGCGCAGAUAUCAGGAGGAACACCGGUGGCGAAGGCGGGUCUCUGGGCCGAUACUGACGCUGAGGAGCGAAAGCGUGGGGGGCGAACAGG